UUACCAGGUCAAGACAUGGGCGUGAUUGACAGGCUAAUGACUUCUCUCGAUUCCAUGGAUGGUGGUGCAUGGUCGCACUUAGUUGGUGCAGUGAUUUGUCAGGUUUAUUCCGGUAACGAACGAGACCUCGGCCUUGUAAAUAGCUAUGCUGCUUACAGGGACAUUGGCGGCUACGCCAAGGAAGCUCGAGGCAAUUGCAGAUCUGGAAUGCCCUUAGAUGUCCUGGGUCGCACGCGUGCUACAAUGACGCCACGAACGAGCUUGCGUGAUGAAAGUUACGCAUAAUCAGCAGUCGGCGUCUUAAGGGAUAGUCUCUUGUAACUGUGGGACUCCAACUAGGAAUGUCUCGUAAGCACAAGUCAACAUCUUGUGUUGAUUACGUCCCUGCUCUUUGUACACACCGCCCGUCGCUCCUACCGAUCGAGUGUUUAGGUGAAUUUGAUGGACGUAAGGAAGUCAAAUAAACCUGAGCACUAGAGGAAGAGAAUCGAGACUGUCAG
rnacentral:rRNA from 1 species